rnacentral:misc_RNA from 1 species
GGACGUCACCGACGAAUUCACACCUGCUGCCGCCAUCCGCGCCGGGGUGCCCUCACAAGGGGUUCGUCGCGGAGGCAACAGGGAAGCCCAAC